rnacentral:lncRNA from 1 species
AUCAUCAAAAUCAAUCACAGGAUCAACAAUAUAGCUUUUUGAUGCCUUGUAUGACUUUCUGUGAAUAUAUAUGACAUCCUAAAUAAUAUAUAUGACUUCUUAUAUAUAUGACUUCUUAAUAUGUUAUAUGACUUCUUCUAAAUAUAUAUGACAUCCUGAAAAAAAUAUAAGACUUCCUAUUGUUAUAGGAGGUCAUACCACCCC